rnacentral:misc_RNA from 1 species
UCCGGUUUGUCACCGGCGGUCUCCUUAGAGUUCCCAACUUAAUGAUGGCAACUAAGGACAAGGGUUGUGCUCGUUGCGGGACUUAACCCAACAUCUCACGACACGAGCUGACGACAGCCAUGCAGCACCUGUGCUGGAGUCCCGAAGGAGGCCCUCGGUUUCUCGAGGGUUUCUCGUGUAUGUCAAGCCUAGGUAAGGUUCUUCGCGUUGCGUCGAAUUAAACCACAUGCUCCACCGCUUGUGCGGGCCCCCGUCAAUUCCUUUGAGUUUCAGCCUUGCGGCCGUACUCCCCAGGCGGGGCACUUAAUGCGUUAGCGCCGGCCCUCGGGGGGUCGCUCCCCCAAGCGCCUAGUGCCCAUCGUUUACGGCGUGGACUAC